rnacentral:pre_miRNA from 1 species
CAACUACUCCCUCUGUCCCAAAUUUCUUGUCUUAGAUUUGUCUAGAUACGGAUGUAUCUAAUACUAAAAUGUGACUUGAUACAUCCGUAUCUAGACAAAUCCAAGACAAGAAUUUUGGAACGGAGGGAGUACUUU